rnacentral:rRNA from 1 species
AGAGUUUGAUCCUGGCUCAGAACGAACGCUGGCGGCGUGCUUAACACAUGCAAGUCGCGUGCGCAGUUUCCGUAGCAAUACGGAGAUGGGCGCACGGCGCACGGGUGCGUAACACGUGGGCAAUCUGCCCUUUGAUGGGGAAUAACCCGCCGAAAGGCGGGCUAAUUCCGCAUAAGAUUCCCUGAACUUCGGUUUAGGGAUUGAAAGCAGCAAUGCGUCGAAGGAGGAGCCCGCGCCCGAUUAGCUAGUUGGUGAGGUAAUGGCUCACCAAGGCAAUGAUCGGUAGCUGGUCUGAGAGGAUGAUCAGCCACACUGGAACUGAGACACGGUCCAGACUCCUACGGGAGGCAGCAGUGGGGAAUCUUGCACAAUGGGCGAAAGCCUGAUGCAGCGACGCCGCGUGGGGGAUGAAGCAUUUCGGUGUGUAAACCCCUUUCGACUGGGAAGAAUGCCUCGCAAGAGGAGUGACGGUACCAGUAGAAGAAGCCCCGGCUAACUACGUGCCAGCAGCCGCGGUAAGACGUAGGGGGCCAGCGUUGUUCGGAAUUACUGGGUGUAAAGGGUUCGUAGGCGGUGCGGCAAGUUGGGAGUGAAAUCUCUGGGCUUAACCCAGAGGCUGCUUCCAAAACUGCUGUGCUCGAGUGUGAGAGAGGCUCGUGGAAUUGCAGGUGUAGCGGUGAAAUGCGUAGAUAUCUGCAGGAACACCCGUGGCGAAAGCGGCGAGCUGGAUCACUACUGACGCUGAGGAACGAAAGCUAGGGGAGCAAACAGGAUUAGAUACCCUAGUAGUCC